UACGUAGGGAGCAAGCGUUGUUCGGAUUUACUGGGCGUAAAGGGCGCGUAGGCGGCGCUGUAAGUCACUUGUGAAAUCUCUGAGCUUAACUCAGAACGGCCAAGUGAUACUGCAGUGCUAGAGUGCAGAAGGGGCAAUCGGAAUUCUUGGUGUAGCGGUGAAAUGCGUAGAUAUCAAGAGGAACACCUGAGGUGAAGACGGGUUGCUGGGCUGACACUGACGCUGAGGCGCGAAGCCAGGGGAGCAAACGGG
rnacentral:rRNA from 1 species